AUUAUAUAUUGGCAAACUUGUUGAAAAACAAGGGCGCAAAACUAUGGGUCUAAAGAAGUAUUCCAUGACUGCCAGGUUGCAUAA
rnacentral:ncRNA from 1 species